rnacentral:misc_RNA from 1 species
AAAAAAAAAAAAAAAAAAUCUAAACUCCUGCAACAAUGUAAUUAUUGGACCGAUUUCAACCAAUUGGAAUACUAUUUUAUACAAGUCCAAUAGCACAAGUCAAAUUUAAACUAGACAGUAGACACUACCAGACACUUUCCAUGAAAAAGGAAAGGAGAUUAAUUUUGCGAAGCAAAACAAUUUUCAUUUACAAUAAGAUGCAAAACAAGCAAGUCAACAUUGUCUAUCUUUUUGUUUUUUUGUUGGUUGGGAACGAGGGCAGAAUUGCAAGUUAAACAUUGAUCAAGAACUACCAAAUGCAUUGUAAAACUACCAUGGUUCAUUGUAAAACUACCAAAUGCAUUGUAAAACUACCAUGGUUCAUUGUAAAACUACCAAAUGCAUUGUAAAACUACCAUGGUUCAUCUUAUCUAUCCACAUAAAAUAGUUAAAACAGAUUGUAAAACCAUUCCCCCUACAAUAAUAAUAAUUUGCAUGAAGUCAAGGAUAGCAUGGACCUGUAAAGGCUCAUUUUCAUCAGUGGAGCCAAGCAUCUCAUUCACCAAAAUUUGAUGCUCCUCAUGGCCACCAAAAAUUAGGCACUUCUCCACAACAUUAG